CGCCCCUACCCGACCUCCCUGGGAGAGCCCCAAAGCGCCCAGCCCAGGCGGCCACCCCACACCGAGCUCAUGGGCCCCCAGCCCCCAUGGGCCCCUUUCUAUGAAACCCUGAAAUCCCACUGCCCACCCCUCCCCCCACAGCGGCAGUAGCCAGCUUGGGCAGGGCGGGGCAGCCGGGGGUGGUCCUCCACCCCGGGAGCAGGUCUGCCCCAGCCUGGAAGGUGUCAGUGUAACAGAUUUGCGUUUUGGUGCAGCUGUUUGCCAUUUUCCUCUUGUCUGGAUGUUCUCAAGUCUGUGCCCCUCCCCUCUCCUGCCCGUCCCCCCCACCUUGGCGACCCUUUGCACUCCUGGCGGGCGGCCAGCAGGCGAGUGGGCCCGCAGCUCCACCCUGGCGCCUGACGGCGGUCUGACCACAGCUGACGCUGACGCGGCACCCACUCCUGCAGCCCCCGCUUCUCGCCAAAGCAGCCACUCCAGGUCCCACUGUCAUUCAGGCCGAGAGGCCCCUCCCCAUCCCUGGCCUCCGAAGCCCACGGGUCCCUCCAUGCACGUCACCUGCUUUGGGGUCCCAGCUUGAGUUACUGACUGCCGAUGGAACCCCCAUUCUGGGUCACAGGCGGAGCCAGGGCGCAGGCUGCACUAUGCAGAUGUCUGACAAAGGGGUUACUGGCAGAGCUGGGGGGGUGCGGGGUGCAGGGCUGGUGGCCAGUGUGUCCUGGUGUAGAAAGGGGGGCAAGACCUCAGCUCCCCGUAUCCCGCCCCCACCCCCCCCAGCCCAGGGACAGCCUGGGAGGGGGCCUGCUGCCCGCUGGCCUGCCCAGUCUGGGAGGCGGCUGGCAAAGCUGCGGCCGCACUCGUCCAGCAGGGCAUGUCAGUGACUGGGCCUUUCGCCUGGCUGGGAGGGAAGCCCCCAAGUUUGUUUGCAGAGGCCGCCUGUCACCUGCUCUUGGGCGGUGGCCGGCGAGCUGGGUGGCCGCAAUGGGCGUGCAGACGCUCGGUCCGGGGCGGAGCUCGCCGGGACUGUGGCGUCGCGUGGGUCCGAUUGUCGGUACAAAGGGGCCAUCGGUGGGGCGCCCCUCACCCUUUAGUGCUAAUUCUUCAGCUCUUUUCAGUGGUGCCCCACCCAGGCGGCCCCUUGCGGAUUCUUCCCGCUGCGCUCCCGCGCCCUGGCACUCGCCGGCCGGCCCUGCAGCGAGCCUGGCCACUGCCGCAGUGGGUCCCUUCCACGUGCCUCUUCUCAGUUCCCACUUUCAUUCAAGAAAAUCAACACAGCCCAGGAACAUGGCGCGCCCCGACAGGAGGCUGCUUCUAGAACUUUCUUGCGUGGGUUUUGGUGCCUCUCCUGUUCGUGUGGAAAUCCUUUCCAUCUGAGGUCGUCUUUUCUCCAAGCUGGAAACGCUGGCUCCGCCGUUGUCCCACUCCCCGGGCUCACGACCUCCUCAGCAGAGCUAGCCGGUACAGCCCACCCUGUCGCGCGUGAGGCUCUCUGGGUGCUCACCGCUGGUGGCCCUCCCCUCUGGGCCACCCAGACCUUCUUUCUGCCUAAGCCCUGGCAGCACGUGGGCCCUUGGCUCUGCUCCCACACCCCCAGACAGGGGGCCUGACCUUCCAGCCCCACCCACCCAGCUAUGCGCAGGCCCAGCCACAGUCUGGGACUCUAGUUUGAAAAUGGUCACAUUUAGGGCCCUCCCUGGUGGCACAACAGGGUUGGGGGCAGCACUGCG